rnacentral:tRNA from 1 species
GACUAAGAAAAAAUUUAAACUGCAAAUUUAGACUGUCUCCAACGAGACUUAGUUU